rnacentral:pre_miRNA from 1 species
UCUUAUGAAUGAGCAAAGAAAGUGGUUCCUGCAGAUAGAAUCUACUCCUGGCGAAGAUGCUGUGAA